UGCUUACUUGAUUCAUCCGUGCAUAUUUGCUUGAGUGUGCCUUUGUGCAUUUAUCAUCAUUACUUGUAUAUCAUUUCAUAAUCAUAGCUCAUUGCUUUGUGACAUUUUUGUUUGUCCAUUGAGGAGUCAAUUGUAAGUCCAUUUAUUGGCAGUUGUUUCCUAUGAUCUGGUAGGGAUUUGGAACUAAGACCAUUCAAUUGGCAUUCCUUUCCUUGGAGUCGAGUGUAAGACCAUUUAUUGGCAAC
rnacentral:lncRNA from 1 species